CCCUUCGGUUUCAUUAAAGGAAACCAUGUGUCUCGAUACAUAAAUAUUUCGCAUUAAUACAAAACCAGAAAGCCGUCUCAGGAAAACUCGGAACCCUUUCCUUACAUCAGUCGUCAUUAGACGACGGUCUCAGCCAUCUAAACUACAACCUAGAAGCUAUAAAAGAAGGCCACAGGCAACACCACCGGCACAAGGCAACGAUCAUCACUCCAAGGGAGUGCCUUCAACAUUCCAGGCGAUAAGUGACUGGAGCCCGGCCCUUUGAGCAUCUUCUUAAAAGCAUAGGAUCUGUUAAGAACAUGACAAUCGCGAUAAAAAGGUUGGUUCACUAUGGCAAAUUCACUGUAAUAGAUUUCUGAAGUCACACUUUCUGGGAGAUUACUGCAGAACGGUCAUGAUAGCAUUGAGCUGAAAAUUCAAUCUAUAUUUGAUUGGGUAAGAGAUUCAUUAAAAUACUAUUUGCUUGUAUUAGAAAUGUGGUAAGUUAUCAUCUGUUCCAUAGAGUUCUGUUUGUAAGGCUUACCAACUCUGAAUUUCCAUUUGCCUGUGUAACUCUAUGGUUCCAAAGUAAGUCCUUGCCUGAUUUCAAGCGACGAAAUAGAACCUCACACUAAUUGGAUAUCAAUGAUUCAUUAUGUGAACUAUAGGACCUAUGAGCAUCUGUGUUCAGGUGUUUGGGAGGUGCUUAGCAAAACAGAACUGUUUUUGUUCUUGCCACACAGGACAGAGAACUUGCUAGUUUUGUAGCAUGCAUCAAUGCUUGUGUAGGCACUAGUGCUUAACAUAUGUUUCUGUAUUUACCUCAAAUUAAUAGAUAAUAAAAUAUGUACAGAAGUCCUUGCAUUAUACUUCCUUGCCUGAUUUCAGGCGACCUAAUAGGACCUCACACUAAUUGGAUAUCAACGAUUCAUUAUGUGAACUAGGAACUAUGAGCAUCUGUGUUCAGGUGUUUGGGAGGUGCUCAGCAAAACAGAACUGUUUUUGUUCUUGCCACACAGGACAGAUAACUGCCUAGUUUUGUAGCAUGCAUGAUGCCUAAUAGCAUCCAGUACCAUUAAUCCAUCUGGGCAUAUGCAAUACUGGAUAUUCUUCCUAUUGUGUUCAUUCUGUAUUUUAUUUUUCUUGGUAAAAGAAAAGAUGGGACAAGAUUGAUUUUGUUUUCUGUCACCUGAAACGAGUGCGUCCUUAUAUAUGUGGCUGUCACAGAGCCACUUAGCUUUUGCAGAAGUGGCCCUUUUGGCAGUGCUGAUAUAUGUGGAUAAAGAUAAGAUGCUCAAGACGAGCCAAUUGGUCAUCCGGGAUUCCCUUGUGCUAGGAAUUGAAAGCUCCAGGUACCAUUCAAUAGAUGCUGGCCUGCUGGGAACAUGGGACACCUUGUGGAUUUCUGUCAUGAAGAAAAUAGAUUAGAAAAUGUGAAGUGAACAUUUUGCCUCUUUGGAUAAAUCAUUUUGUGACUAUAUCCAGCGCAACCAUUUUAUGGAUCUCCGUUUUAUUCUUUGUUGCAGACAGGGCUGUUGUCUUCCUUGGAAUCAGAUGAUUUAUAUUUUUAGGCCACCUUGUAAUAAAUGGCAAUUAUUAUUUUUAAAGCAAAUGGAGCAGUAGCUACAGUUAAUGAAUCUAGCAGUAGAGUAGUACUUGCAGAGUAUUCAAUCAUACAGAUCGUGUAAAAGAAAUGAAAAAAUGCUUCCCAAUUGGAUGAUAUCGUUGUGAAAUCUUUCAUGUUGCAUGGUUGAUAAGCAUAUCAACAUUUGGUUUUUUCAGUAAAGGCUGCUAGAAACCAUUGAAACUACAAACAGUACCUUAUUUGGCAGCCAUAGAAGUACAACAGGUUGUUGGUCCUUGGUAUCAAAUGGCGGUGCUGUCACAAGCAACAUAGUAACAGUAUAGGCUGAAUUAUAACCGCGCACAGAAAUAGGCCCCCAUCGUUGCAGCUGUAGAUAUCAGCAAAAGAGCAACCACGGGCUUUGGCAUUAGCAUGGUUGAUGCAGCAUUAUUGAGAGGGAUUGCGAGGGGA
rnacentral:lncRNA from 1 species